rnacentral:tRNA from 1 species
UCCCUGGUGGCUCAUAUUGUAAAGAAUCUGUCUGCAAUGCAGGAGACCCAGGUUCGAUCCCUGGGUUGGGAA